rnacentral:rRNA from 1 species
AUACGGAGGGUGCAAGCGUUAAUGGGAAUUACUGGGCGUAAAGCGCGCGUAGGCGGAUAUUUAAGUCUCAUGUGAAAGCCCUGGGCUCAACCUGGGAACUGCAUGGGAUACUGGGUAUCUAGAAUACAGUAGAGGGUAGUGGAAUUUCAGGUGUAGCGGUGAAAUGCGUAGAGAUCUGAAGGAACAUCAGUGGCGAAGGCGACUACCUGGACUGAUAUUGACGCUGAGGUGCGAAAGCGUGGGGAGCAAACGGGAUUAGAAACCCCAGUAGUCC